rnacentral:rRNA from 1 species
AGAGCGAACGCUGGCGGCAGGCUUAACACAUGCAAGUCGAGCGCCCCGCAAGGGGAGCGGCAGACGGGAGAGUAACACGUGGGAACGUACCUUUCGGUUCGGAACAACCCAGGGAAACUUGGGCUAAUACCGGAUACGUCCGUAAGGAGAAAGAUUUAUCGCCGAAAGAUCGGCCCGCGUCUGAUUAGCUAGUUGGUGAGGUAACGGCUCACCAAGGCGACGAUCAGUAGCUGGUCUGAGAGGAUGAUCAGCCUCACUGGGACUGAGACACGGCCCAGACUCCUACGGGAGGCAGCAGUGGGGAAUAUUGGACAAUGGGCGCAAGCCUGAUCCAGCCAUGCCGCGUGAGUGAUGAAGGCCCUAGGGUUGUAAAGCUCUUUGUGCGGGAAGAUAAUGACGGUACCGCAAGAAUAAGCCCGGCUAACUUCGCGCCAGCAGCCGC